UGGCGAACGGGUGAGUAACACGUGACCAACCUGCCUCUUACAUUGGGACAACCAAAAGAAAUUCUGGCUAAUACCAAAUACUCCGCACAUAUCACAUGAUGUAUGCGGGAAAGCUUUUGCGGUAAGAGAUGGGGUCGCGGCCCAUUAGGUAGACGGCGGGGUAGAAGCCCACCGUGCCGAUGAUGGGUAGCCGGGUUGAGAGACCGACCGGCCACAUUGGGACUGAGAUACGGCCCAGACUCCUACGGGAGGCAGCAGUC
rnacentral:rRNA from 1 species